UGAACGCUGGCGGCGUGCCUAAUACAUGCAAGUCGAGCGGACAGACGAGGAGCUUGCUCCUCUGACGUUAGCGGCGGACGGGUGAGUAACACGUGGAUAACCUACCUAUAAGACUGGGAUAACUUCGGGAAACCGGAGCUAAUACCGGAUAAUAUAUUGAACCGCAUGGUUCAAUAGUGAAAGACGGUUUUGCUGUCACUUAUAGAUGGAUCCGCGCCGCAUUAGCUAGUUGGUAAGGUAACGGCUUACCAAGGCAACGAUGCGUAGCCGACCUGAGAGGGUGAUCGGCCACACUGGAACUGAGACACGGUCCAGACUCCUACGGGAGGCAGCAGUAGGGAAUCUUCCGCAAUGGGCGAAAGCCUGACGGAGCAACGCCGCGUGAGUGAUGAAGGUCUUCGGAUCGUAAAACUCUGUUAUUAGGGAAGAACAAAUGUGUAAGUAACUAUGCACGUCUUGACGGUACCUAAUCAGAAAGCCACGGCUAACUACGUG
rnacentral:rRNA from 1 species